CGGUUAAAAAGCUCGUAGUUGGAUCUCGGCAAGUAGAGGGCGGUAUGCUUCGUAGCAUUACUGCCCUAUUACUUGUAGUUUUGCCAGAGGUUCCUGGGUGCUCUUAAUCGAGUGUCUAGGGAUGCUGGCAGGUUUACUUUGAAAAAAUUAGAGUGCUCAAAGCAGGCUAUUACGCUUGAAUAUUCGUGCAUGGAAUAAUAGAAUAGGAAGUUGUUUCUAUUUUGUUGGUUUUCGGAAAUCGACUUAAUGAUUAAUAGGGACAGUCGGGGGCAUUUGUAUUCAGACGACAGAGGUGAAAUUCUUGGACCGUUUGAAGACAAUCUACUGCGAAAGCAUUUGCCAAGAAUGUUUUCAUUAAUCAAGAACGAAAGUUAGAGGUUCGAAGGCGAUUAGAUACCGCCCUAGUUCUAACCAUAAACGAUGCCAGCUAGCGAUCUGAGGACGUUUUUUUUGUAGACUCCUCAGGAAGCUUCCGGGAAACCAAAGCGUGUGGGUUCCGGGGGAAGUAUGGUUGCAAAGCUGAAACUUAAAGGAAUUGACGGAAGGGCACCACCAGGAGUGGAGCCUGCGGCUUAAUUUGACUCAACACGGGAAAUCUCACCAGGCCCGGACACUGGAAGGAUUGACAGAUUGAUAGCUCUU
rnacentral:rRNA from 1 species